UUUGGCUGGAUAGAUAGGAAUGCAGAUUUUGCCUUCCUCCUGGAAGGACUCAGGCCGAGCAGCCUCCGCAUCUUUAAUUCAAGCUUCGGGGGGAGGGCAGCCGCCUGCCAGGACUGCUGGGGAGACGGACCCAGGAGAGAGCCAUGGCCGGAGCAGGAGGAGCCACCCCCAGGAGGUGGUUCAGGCUGCAGGCAGGAGGACUUGGCUGUCGCGGGACAGCCAAGGGAAGGACAGGCUGUCUCAGGACAGGCCUGCAGCAGGAUCUGGGAGCUGGGGUGCCUACUAUGGGGGAAUGGAGACCAGGGGUACGGGGCAGCCGCAGAGGCAGCUCGUCACUCAGCUCCUUGCCAGCCCCGAGGCUCAGUCACUAUUUUUGAUAGGAUAAGCAUGGAGUUGGCCCUGGGCUCCGGAAGCCCAGUUGCCGGAAGAGGGGGUGGCCGACGCUGCCGCUGGCUCCCCGAAGUGACCUAGAUGGAAGAGCGCCUCCUCUGCCUUUCUGCCACAGGCUGCCUCGGGCCUCACAGGCCUCCCAGCUGACCCUGCUCCAGAGUGAAGGGCCUCUGGGUCACCCCGCCACCUGCUCAAGAGGGGAGGAAGCUGGCUGGGGAUGCCCGGGCUCCUCAGUGCACCAGGGGCACCCUGUACUUGGCCCUCCCCAGCAAGAUCAAGAUCAGCAAAUGCAGCCCCCGCCCUCCUCCUCUGGGGUUCACCUGGACCCUAACCCAGCCCUGCACCCAGGAAGAAAGCUCAGCCCGGCUGGCUGGCAUCCCUGCCCCUCCCUCCUGCAGACUCGGACAGCACCGCUGCCAGCCUGAGGUGGCCAUGAUAAAAAAUGAAGAGAAAGAGGAAGCAUUCCAGCCUCUGGCUGGGCGCCAUCAGUAUCCUGUCAGGGCUGGAGUGGGGUCUGAGAGGGAAGCACGUCUCUGGAGCCCGCCUGAUGGGGUGGCUUUGGUGACUUGACAAUGGCCCAAGUGCUGCCAUUGCAGAGAUGGGGAAACUGAGGUAAGAGGAGGCGAAGCCGAGGGCCCUGCAGGGACCUGCAUCCAGCAUCUGUGGGGAGCCAGUCCCCGGUGUCACCGUGUGAAUCUGACCACGUCAUGGGCAGUAGCUCCGACCACCCCGUUUCACUGUGGGGAGGCGGAGGCCUGGCAUGGGGAGGCUGUGUGGCCAGCUCCCUCCCGCAGAGGUCAAAGGGGAGGUCAAAGGGGAGGCAGCGGGGACACAGCCCAGGCCAUCGUGAUGGAGGCAACCCAGCCAAAGAUAACAGGAGCUGAGGCCCACAGCAGUGACAGCAGAGGGUGGUAGUGACAGGGCUGUGCCCUGAGUGGGGACGCUGGAUGCAGGGCAGGGAUGGGUGUCUGACAGCUCUCCCUCCUCUGGACCCUGUGAUUCCAACUGCAAGACCGCAAGGACCCUUCCCAAGCACCCCCCUCUCCCGGCCAACAAACCUGCGCCCCUGCCCAGGCCUGAAACCCGUAGAUCAAGGUUGCUGCAAGGACCUCAGCCCAGUUCCCAUAGCAACGCCUGGAUGGUGGGGGAGGGGAGAAGAAUGGAAAUGGAGAGACACCAAAUAAAAAACAACAACCUCACAAAAUGAGCAGUCAGGGAAAGAGCUGUGGAGGGAUGGCCCCGGCCCAGGCUGAGGAGGCCCCAGCAGGCACAGCCCCCAUCACCACUCACGUAAACAGCACUGGCAGGCGCCAGCCACUGCACAGGGCGGGAGACACAGAGGCCAAGGAGGCAGCCCCCAAGGCCGGCACACAAGGGGCCUAGGCAGGGCUGCCAGACUCCAACAGGGAGUCCCUGGCUAGUCCCGUGGGUCUCAGCUCUAGAGAGGGGAGCAGAUAGGCAGCUCUGCCCACCUAGCACUCACCUGCCCCUCUCCACGGCCGUCCCACGGGAGGAGCUGAUCACGUGGGACCUUAUCUGACCCAUGUGUCAGCCCCACAUCAGCCCCAGGGGGAGACACCCUCACCUUCCUGUUCCACCAGUGAGGAGGUGAGGCUCAGAGGGGCCACACAGUCAGGUGAAGGGGAAGGGCCACAGCCAGGCGGGCCUGGGAAUCUACACCAUGCAGGGACGCUGGGGAAUCCGGCACAGAGCAGGCAGCGUGAGGUUGUGCUGGUCCCCCGCUGCCACCGAGCAAGCAACCACAAAUGCAGUGGCUCAGACAGCACGCCUUUCUCGUCUCACGGUUCUGUGGGUCAGGAGCCCAGCCCUGGGGCUCACUAGGCUGAAAUCGAGGUGUCCACAGCCUGCGUUUCCCUGGGAGGUUUGAGGGGAGCGUCUUCUUGCAGCUGCGGCAGGUCCAGCGGCGGUCGCCUGGCAGCACCUGCCCUGCUUCACGUCCACACCCUCUCUGACGCACCUCCCUCUCCACGAAUCCUGCAGUCACCCUGGGCCACACAGAUGAUCCAGGACAACCUCCACAUGUCAAGGUCCGCUGAGGAGUAGCUCGAGUUCCCCGUGCCUGGGAGCCUAAUCUCCGCCCAGAGAGAUGGAGACAGAGGGCCAAAGAGCAGGAGAUCGCUGGACACUCGCCGAAGAGCGGGAGAUCGCUGGACACUCGCCGUUGGCAUCAUGUGGGGUGCUCCAUGGCUUCCAAUUGGCCAAAUUCUUUUCAGUGUUAAAAUGCUGUAAAAUAUAAAACAUAUGUAAUUUCUUGACAAAAA
rnacentral:lncRNA from 10 species